GUCGUAACAAGGUUUCCGUAGGUGAACCUGCGGAAGGAUCAUUGUCGAAUCCUGUAGAAGCAAACCGCGAACAUGUAUAAUCACAUUGGGAUUGCGGCGGGGUAAUCUCUUGUCGCAUCCCCUUCCCCGCAUGCUCUCACCAUGGUGGGUGUUGUGCGGGCUAACGAACCCCGGCGCGGAAUGCGCCAAGGAUUACUCAUGAAGCGUCCACCUCCUCGGCCCCGUUCGCGGUGAGUUGGGGGGAGAGGAUGAAUCUCCAAUGUCAAAACGACUCUCGGCAACGGAUAUCUCGGCUCUCGCAUCGAUGAAGAACGUAGCGAAAUGCGAUACUUGGUGUGAAUUGCAGAAUCCCGUGAACCAUCGAGUCUUUGAACGCAAGUUGCGCCCGAAGCCUUUUGGCCAAGGGCACGUCUGCCUGGGCGUCACGCAUCUUGUCGCUCCCCUCCCGUCCCUUUGGGGCGAUACCUGGGUGGGGGCGGACAAUGGCCUCCCGUGCAUUAUUGAUGUGCGGCUGGCCCAAAUGAGAUCCUGCGGCGACUCACGUCACGACCAGUGGUGGUUGAACUCUCAACUCUCGUACUGUUGUGUCGUAUGGCGUCGAACGGUAGACAUUGUUGCAUACCCAAUGGUGUGAUAUAUAUUCAUGCUUUUGACCGCGACCCCA
rnacentral:sRNA from 1 species